UAAAAAUGUGAGACUUACUAGGAUUUUACAGUUCACUAAGAGUUUCAAAAUAGCUUUUGAAGUUAUCAUCUUUUAUCUAGGUAUAUUACUGAUUUUAAAUCGAAUUUCAAGUGACUGUUGCUCAGUGAUUUCUAUGACAUAGGCUUCUAGAUGGGGCCCUACAACAAUGGUUUCUGUUUGUCUCCCUGUAGGCAGAGUGAGAAAGAAUUUUGGGGUUCUAAUACUUCCAGAAAAUACUUUAUCUUAGGAAUACAGCCUCUGCAAUUAACAGUAAGUGCUGUCGGGAGCCCAGAGGUGGGUGGUCCUGGGCAAAUGCAGCAGGGCUGAUAUGGACUGGGGUUUGGUUCAAGUUUCUGCUUCACAAUGUGUGGUAUGUUUGCUUUAGUCUUCCAGCUUGCUGCUUCAUAUUGGAAGGAUACACUUGCCAGCAUCUCUACCACACUCCAAACAAGGAGAAGGUUCCUUUGUAUCAAGAAAGCAGAAGCUUUCCAAGGAAGCUCACCCAGCAGACUUCCACUUACAUCUCUCUCCACUCCCAUGAGGCCACCCUUGGACAGGUUACUAGAGAGAAGAGGAUUGUGGAUCCAGAGAGGUAACGAGUCAAGAAAAGCAAGAGCUCCUCUGCUCAGAGCUAUGUGAACAGCAGAUGCCAAGACAGCUGAUGGGGUGGAGUGAACAGCUGAAUUGGGUUUGAGGUUAAAGUGUUCAAGUAACAGCACUGAGUCUCAGAAGCUAAAUGAGACCAACUGGUCGAAAGAGAUUGAUCAAAAUAAAUAAAAUCUGAAAUGAAAAAAGAGAGGUUAU
rnacentral:lncRNA from 1 species